ACGGGAGGCAGCAGUGGGGAAUUUUGGACAAUGGGCGCAAGCCUGAUCCAACUAUUCCGCGUGUGGGAAGACGGCCUUCGGGUUGUAAACCACUUUUGUAGAGAACGAAAAGUCUAUUGAUAAUACCGAUAGAUGAUGACGGUACUCUAAGAAUAAGCACCGGCUAACUACGUGCCAGCAGCCGCGGUAAUACGUAGGGUGCGAGCGUUAAUCGGAAUUACUGGGCGUAAAGGGUGUGCAGGCGGUUUUGCAAGAUGGAUGUGAAAGCCCCGGGCUUAACCUGGGAAAGCCAUACAUGACUGCAAGACUAGAGUGCGUCAGAGGGGGGUGGAAUUCCAAGUGUAGCAGUGAAAUGCGUAGAUAUUUGGAAGAACACCGAUGGCGAAGGCAGCCCCCUGGGACGCAACUGACGCUCAUACACGAAAGCGUGGGGAGCAAACAGGAUUAGAUACCCUGGUAGUCCACGCCCUAAACGAUGUCAACUAGUUGUUGGGAGGUAA
rnacentral:rRNA from 1 species